CCAAUGAUAAUGAAUGUCUUUAGAAUAAAGGUUAGAUCAGUGAAAGCAAGGGCAAAAAAGCUUCCUGGAGAUGUUCUAGUCAUGUUUAACUCAUUGGACAUAAGAAAUGAAAUACUGAGACUGAAUUACAACAAAAAUCUAUGCAUAGAUGGAGUGAAAAUCUUGAUUUUUAGGGAGAUCCCUGCCAGGUUUCUGAAACGAAGGGGAAUUUAUAAACAAAUGGUGACUAAAAUGUAUAGGAAAAAAGAAAGAAAAUGUUGGAAAUGUAAAAAGGCAGAUGGGGACUAUUUCCAUAUGUGGUGGACCUGCGAUAAGGUAAAAAAAAAUUGGGAAUCAAUUUAUAAUGAACUCAAAAAAAUAUUUAGAUAUACUUUCCCCAAAAGACCGGAAGCGUGUCUAUUAGGCUUAAUAGGAACAGAAAUUAAAAUAGAAGAUCAAAAUUUGUUCAUGUAUGCUACAGCUGCCGCGAGGACCCUUCUGGCCCAAAGAUGGAAAGUACAAGAUAUACCAACUAUUCAGGAGUGGCAGGCGAAGUUGACAGAA